rnacentral:rRNA from 1 species
AGAGUUUGAUCAUGGCUCAGAACGUACGCUGGCGGCACGCCUAAUACAUGCAAGUCGAACGAAGUAGCAAUACUUAGUGGCAGACGGGUGAGUAACAUGUAGGUAUCUUCCCAUCGGUGAGGAAUAACACGAGGAAACUUGUGCUAAUACCUCAUAAGUCUUUACGGAGAAAGCUUUAUGCGCCGAUGGAUGAGCCUGCACUUGAUUAGUUUGUUGGUAGGGUAAUGGCCUACCAAGACAAUGAUCAAUAGCUGAUUUGAGAGGAUGAUCAGCCACAUUGGGACUGAGACACGGCCCAAACUCCUACGGGAGGCAGCAGUAGGGAAUCUUGCACAAUGGGGGAAACCCUGAUGCAGCGAUGCCGCGUGAGUGAAGAAGGCCUUUGGGUUGUAAAGCUCUUUCGUCGGGGAAGAAAAUGACUGUACCCGAAUAAGAAGGUCCGGCUAACUUCGUGCCAGCAGCCGCGGUAAUACGAAGGGACCUAGCGUAGUUCGGAAUUACUGGGCUUAAAGAGUUCGUAGGUGGUUAAAAAAGUUGGUGGUGAAAUCCCAGAGCUUAACUCUGGAACUGCCAUCAAAACUUUUUAGCUAGAGUAUGAUAGAGGAAAGCAGAAUUUCUAGUGUAGAGGUGAAAUUCGUAGAUAUUAGAAAGAAUACCAAUUGCGAAGGCAGCUUUCUGGAUCAUUACUGACACUGAGGAACGAAAGCAUGGGUAGCGAAGAGGAUUAGAUACCCUCGUAGUCCAUGCCGUAAACGAUGUGUGUUAGACGUUGGAAAUUUAUUUUCUGUGUCGCAGCGAAAGCAAUAAACACACCGCCUGGGGAGUACGACCGCAAGGUUAAAACUCAAAUGAAUUGACGGGGACCCGCACAAGUAGUGGAGCAUGUGGUUUAAUUCGAAGAUACGCGCAGAACCUUACCAACACUUGACAUGUUCGUCGCGACUUUAAGAGAUUAAAGUUUUCGGUUCGGCCGGACGAAACACAGGUGCUGCAUGGCUGUCGUCAGCUCGUGUCGUGAGAUGUUGGGUUAAGUCCCGCAACGAGCGCAACCCUCACUUUUAGUUGCCAUCAUUUAGUUGGGCACUCUGAAAGAACUGCCAGUGAUAAGCUGGAGGAAGGUGGGGAUGACGUCAAGUCCUCAUGGCCCUUACGUGUUGGGCUACACACGUGCUACAAUGGCAUUUACAAUAGGAAGCAAGACGGCGACGUUAAGCAAAUCCUAAAAAAAUGCCUCAGUUCGGAUUGUACUCUGCAACUCGAGUACAUGAAGCUGGAAUUACUAGUAAUCGCGGAUCAGCGCGCCGCGGUGAAUACGUUCCC